CCUACGGGGGGCAGCAGUGGGGAAUAUUGGACAAUGGGGGCAACCCUGAUCCAGCCAUGCCGCGUGUGUGAAGAAGGCCCUCGGGUUGUAAAGCACUUUCAGUGAGGAAGAACGCCUGGUGGUUAAUACCCAUCAGGAAAGACAUCACUCACAGAAGAAGCACCGGCUAACUCCGUGCCAGCAGCCGCGGUAAUACGGAGGGUGCGAGCGUUAAUCGGAAUUACUGGUCGUAAAGCGCGCGUAGGUGGCUUGAUAAGCCGGUUGUGAAAGCCCCGGGCUCAACCUGGGAACGGCAUCCGGAACUGUCAAGCUAGAGUGCAGGAGAGGAAGGUAGAAUUCCCGGUGUAGAGGUGAAAUGCGUAGAGAUCGGGAGGAAUACCAGUGGCGAAGGCGGCCUUCUGGACUGACACUGACACUGAGGUGCGAAAGCGUGGGUAGCAAACAGGAUUAGAUACCCCAGUAGUC
rnacentral:rRNA from 1 species